UUUCCGUAGGUGAACCUGCGGAAGGAUCAUUCAUAAUAAGUGUUUUAUGGCACUUUUUUAAAUCCAUAUCCACCUUGUGUGCAAUGUCAGGGUUGAUUUUUCUCUCGAGAGGAUCAACCCCAAACAUCAACUAUAUCUCAACUCUUUGUCUGAAAAAUGUUAUGAAUAAAACAAUUCAAAAUACAACUUUCAACAACGGAUCUCUUGGCUCUC
rnacentral:misc_RNA from 1 species